rnacentral:rRNA from 1 species
UACGUAGGGGGCCAGCGUUGUUCGGAAUUACUGGGUGUAAAGGGUUCGUAGGCGGUGCGGCAAGUUGGGAGUGAAAUCUCUAGGCUCAACCUAGAGACGGCUUCCAAAACUGCUGUGCUUGAGUGUGAGAGAGGCUCGUGGAAUUGCAGGUGUAGCGGUGAAAUGCGUAGAUAUCUGCAGGAACACCCGUGGCGAAAGCGGCGAGCUGGAUCACUACUGACGCUGAAGAACGAAAGCUAGGGGAGCAAACAGG